rnacentral:tRNA from 1 species
GGGGAUUUAGCUCAGCGGCAUAAGCGCCUGCCUGGCAAGCAGGCAGUUGUAAGUUCAAUCCCCG